rnacentral:rRNA from 1 species
GACACGCUGGCGGCGUGCUUAAUACAUGCAAGUCGAACGGAAGUAGCAAUACUUUAGUGGCGCACGGGUGAGGAACACGUAGAUGAUCUGCCCUUGAGAUCGAGAUAACCCCGGGAAACUGGGGCUAAUACCGGAUAAUGCAUUAUUAUUGGUUUAAUAAUGUUAAAGCGGCGCAAGUCGCACUUGAGGAUGAGUCUGCGACCUAUCAGCUAGUUGGCGGUGUAAUGGACCACCAAGGCAAAGACGGGUAGCUGAUCUGAGAGGAUGAUCAGCCACACUGGGACUGAGACACGGCCCAGACUCCUACGGGAGGCAGCAGUAGGGAAUAUUGCGCAAUGGGGGGAACUCUGAUGCAGCGACGCCGCGUGAGUGAAGAAGGUCUUCGGAUCGUAAAACUCUGUCCUUGGUGAAGAAAAGGACGGUAGCCAAGGAGGAAGCCCCGGCUAACUACGUG